rnacentral:lncRNA from 1 species
GAGUCUUGUGGGCCCUGUAGGCCCUGUGUCACGGGGCCUAACGCAACCGUGCUGGCUUGCCGGGAGGCAAGGACCAUUCCUGACCAACAAUCAGUGACAGCCUCGACCGCUAGGCCCAGGUCUGAAUACGAACGCUCGGUGGCACAUUGUCCCGCCGGGCCUCUUCACCCUGGAGUCCCAAAACCUAAGAACACAGAUAGCCCUAUCGGAUUGCAGUGACCGGACCGCACUGAGAUAGCUUACCACGAUAGAAACAGAUCGAUCACGGUGUGGGGGGAUUUCGC